UUGCCUACGGGGGGCAGCAGUGAGGAAUAUUGGUCAAUGGGCGGAAGCCUGAACCAGCCAAGUCGCGUGAGGGAAUAAGGCCCUACGGGUCGUAAACCUCUUUUGCCGGGGAGCAAGGGCCGGGACGCGUCCCGGCCCGGAGAGUACCCGGAGAAAAAGCAUCGGCUAACUCCGUGCCAGCAGCCGCGGUAAUACGGAGGAUGGGAGCGUUAUCCGGAUUUAUUGGGUUUAAAGGGUGUGAAGGCGGGGUUUUAAGUAAGCGGUAAAAAU
rnacentral:rRNA from 1 species